rnacentral:rRNA from 1 species
AGACCGAUAGCGAACAAGUACCGUGAGGGAAAGAUGAAAAGAACUUUGAAAAGAGAGUUAAAAAGUACGUGAAAUUGUUGAAAGGGAACCGUUUGAAGCCAGUCUUGCUUACUUGUGAUCAAUCUUAGCUUCGGCUUGGAUGCACUCUCGAGUUAUGCAGGUCAACGUCAGUUUGAGAGGUGGGAAAAAAGUUUGAGGAAUGUGGCCUUCGGGUGUUAUAGCCUCUUACUAAAUACCAUCUCCUGGACUGAGGCUCGCAGCAAAAAUGUGGGUUGGUUUGCUCCUGAGGUGAAUCAUUAUUAAGACAGCUUGCUGACUUAGUUUUGUGGAUCUUCACGGUAGACCAGCUUCUAAUUUGCUUAGGUCGUUGACAUAAUGGCUUUAAAUGACCCGUCUUGAAACACGGACCAAG